AGAAGGACCUUAAAAAGUUCAAGUGGCUUUUGGUGGAGCUCAAACCCAUCCCAAAGAGCGAACUGGAGGAUGCCAACAUCUGUGACCUGGUGGAUCUGAUGUUCGGGGCCUACACCCAACAUACUGUGGAGGUGACCAAGGAGGUUUUUAGGAAAAUGAACAGGAAUGAUCUGGUGCAGAAGUUGUCAGACACGAGCUCGAGAUCCAAAGACUGACAUCAACGUGAUGCUGAGAUCAGGUCUGUGGGUCUGACCAUCUGCUGCAGGACUCUUUAUGUCUCUGACUCUCUGUUCGGGCUCGCUGUCCUGCUGCAGGAUAGAUGCGUCACUCUUAGUCCUGGCGAUGGAUCAGAAUCUGUACGUUAACAUUCGUGAGAUUCUAAACCUCAAACUCCAGAGUUGCAGCUGUGAACCUGCACAGAGCCUCCAUGAUGUUUCCCUUUUACCUGCACACACCUGAUCCAGACAGCGAGCAAAGCAACAUCUGUGUGAAUCUACACAGCAUGGCUUUGAUUUGGUGCUUGCUGCAUGAACUGAUCAACUCUGAUAAAUUAUUAUAUUUUCACUGGUGACAUGGGGCUAAAAAUAUGAUCAGAUUUAUCCACAUGUUUUCUUUAUUAAUGUGACAAUGUUGGUAUCUGUGGCUGUGUGGACGAUGAGAGGAAAUGUAAAAAGAAAUGAAUUUGUUUUAGUGGUUUUGUUUGUUUUUUGUUACUCAUAUGUAGAAUGACUGCAUCCUGAAGCACAGAGAGAUGAUUUUACAGUGAGUUCCUAUAUCUUCUGUCAUAGCAGCACAUUCAGUUUUUUCUAGCAGUACAGUGUGUGACAGACUUCACAGAGAGCCCGUUGUGCUUUUCUUCGUUCAUAUUCUUCAUACUUCAUAUAAAUAUUGUUGUUUGAUGCUCAUAUUGAACAUGAUCUUUUCCCCUCUUCUUGUGGUCGUUGCUCCGUCUGGUUUGGAGGAGAAAAGUUUCAGGACCAACUGGGUGAAGGUUUGACGUUACUGAGGAUUACAACACGUCUGUUUGUCAUAUUUUAAUCAAUGAGAAUUUUUUAAUUGGAUAAACAUUGGAGAAUUUGA